GAGACAAGUGGGCUAGUUACUACUGUUCAACAAACAGGAAGUGGACAAAGUCAUUCCUUGUGUUCUCUGUCAGUAGUCUUUGAACCUGAGAUGCAAAGAUACUUGUGGGACCAGAGAGGGCUUGGAAAAAUCCUGGGAAUAAUGUGCACAUGAGAAUGAGAGGAUUCAGGCGUUCUUUGGACCUUGAAUGGGGACUCUGAACCUGAAAUGGUUCAGAACCAGUUUAGAGAGCAAGCCAGCUGGAGUCCUAACUGGAGCUCUGGUUUCAGGGUUUGUGUAGAUCUCAGGACGACAAGGGAUGUGGCAGGAUGGGUAGAUGCAGGUGAAUACAUGACUUGGCAGCUCCUUAACUUUUAUCCAGCUACCUGUUUGCAGCCCCCUACUACUAUGGCUUCUACAACAACCGACUGCAGGCAUACUGCAAGCAGAACCUCGAGAUGAAUGUAACAGUGCAGAAUGUGCUGCAGGUAAUGCUUAAUACCCAUGGACAUGCGCUCCUCCGGGUUGAGCUGGGGCAGGGCCUCAUGGUUCCUGCCAUUGCAGAUUCUGGAGGCAGCUGACAAGACACAGGCACUGGACAUGAAGCGGCACUGCUUGCACAUCAUUGUACACCAAUUCACUAAGGUCAGGCUCUGGCUCUCCCCAGCAGGCCUGGGCACCUCUUGGCCAUUGCCCACUGUCCUUAGACAGCCUAGGCCGGAGCAGGCUGGGCCCCAAGAGGACUUCUCUGCCCACCCUGGUCCUCCUGGGAUUCUCGUUUCAUCUAGUUUUGGUCAUCUGUGCAGGUCUCUAAGCUGCCCACACUGCGGCUGCUGAGCCAGCAGCUGCUGCUGGACAUCAUAGACUCCCUGGCCUCCCAUAUCUCUGACAAGCAGUG
rnacentral:lncRNA from 1 species